UUAAACAAAACACACACUCUCUCUCUCACUCUCAUCACUCUCAGUCAUGAAAAAAAAAAAAUCAAAGCUCACUCUCUCUAACUCUCCCUCUCUCUCCCUUGCCGAUCAACCUACCUUCGAAUCGUUGUCCAUCACGCUGCCGCUGUCCUCCGAUCUAAGGCUUUACACCAUCCAUCUAGCCGCCGCUGUCCUUCAUCUCCACUGGGAAUCGAGCUGAUACUAUUGGUCCUACCCUCUACCGCCGACACCAACAACCUCUACCACAGCCACCGCGGCUAUCCCCGGACUCUUCCCCUCCCUCAGCUGCCUAAAACGCUCCUGAAGGAAUUGUGUAAUUAAACCCCUUGCUCUAAAAUACAAUAAUCAACACCAUGAACGCACCCAUAAUCGAUCUACUGCAAGGAGAUUUUCCAGAGGUAAUAGAAGAUUAUUUGGAACAUGGGGUCAUGAAGUGCAUUGCUUUCAAUCACCGUGGCACCCUUCUUAUUGUGAAUAUGGAGGGCAAGGAAGUGAUGGUGACUUUCAUAGUAGUCGGAUCGUUCUCCCCAUACACGGCAAUCCUGGGAAGGCCAUGGAUUCACGCAAUGAAGGCUGUUCCGUUCACCCUGCAUGUAAAAGUUAAAUUUCCUACCGAGCAUGGAGUUGUCGUGGUACGAGAAAACUAGCAAGUGGCUAGGCAAUGCCUGGUCGCCGCAGUCAGGUGGAAAGGUGAGCAAGUUGAACAGAAGGAAACCACCGAAAGAGCAUCUUCAUAGCAAUUACAGAUGCCCCGAGAAAAAGUAGGGGCAAGUUAUGCCGAGGAGCUGUUGAAGGUCAAAAUUUUUCCAGAUACUGACAGGUAUUUUCAAAUAGGGAUGAGCAUGAAAGACUAGGAUAAGGUAGAAAUAUUGUUAUUCCUUUUGCAGAAUGUGGAUGUCUUUGCAUGGAGUCCGUACGAAGUGCCCGGAGUAGACCCCGAGUUCAUUGUCCAUAAGCUCAACGUGGACCCGUCAUUCUCCCCGAAGAAGCAAAAGCUGAGAAGAGUAUCAAAAGAGCAUGUUGACGCGGUCAAGUUGGAAGUCCAGAGGCUGAAGGAAGCUUGGGUGAUAAGAGAAAUCUUCUUCCCGGAAUGGUUAGCAAAUACAGUGGUAGUGAAGAAGAAGAAUGGCAAGUGGAGGGUUUGUGUGGACUUCACAGACUUAAACCAAGCAUGCCCGAAAGACCCGUUCCCAAUGCCGAAGAUUGAUCAAUUGGUAGAUGCUACAUACGAACACCCGAGGAUAAGCUUCUUGGACGCCUUUCUGGGGUAUCAUCAUAUUGCCCUGGCACCCGAGGACCAAGAAAAGACAGCAUUCAUCUCCCCGGAUGCAAACUAUCACUAUAACGUGAUGCGAUUUGGGUUGAAGAACGCUGGAGCCACGUACCAACGGAUGUUGACAAGGAUGUUCUAAGAAAAAAUUGGGUGCACGAUAGAAGUAUACAUCGACGAUAUGGUAGUGAAGAGUAAACAGGAAGCACGACAUGUAGAAGAACUUCGAGGAGUGUUUAAGGUGAUCCGGCAACAUAAGCUGCGCCUAAAUGUUGAGAAGUGCACUUUCGGCAUAGGGGCUAGUAAGUUCUUGGGGUAUCUGAUCACUAAUUGGGGGAUGGAGGCCAACCCUGACCAGAUUGAAGCCGUGAAUCGCCUCAGGCUGUCGUGCAAUCCCAAAGAAGUGCAAGUGUUGACUGGGAUGUUAGCCACACUUAAUCGGUUCAUUUCCAAAUUUGUUGAUUGCUGCAGACCGUUUUAUCAGCUUCUGAAGAAGUGGAAGGGAUUUCAGUGGGAUAAGGAGUGUGACAAAGCCUUUUGAGAUCUGAAGGAGUACUUAACGCAAGUGCCCAUGCUAACGGCCCCAGAUUCCGAAGAAGAUUUAUUCAUGUAUCUCUCAGUGUCUGACCACGCCGUAAGCGCUGUGCUGCUGAGGGACCAAGGAAUAUAGCAACCGGUGUAUUACAUAAGCAAAACCUUGGUUGAUGCCGAGACGAGAUAUCUACCUUUGGAGAAGUUAGUGUUGGCCCUAUUGCACGCCACGAGGAAGCUACUGCAUUACUUUCAGGCUCAUACUGUGUUCGUCCUGACCGAGUAUCCUUUACAGUUGUUGUUAAAAAGGUCAGACUUCACGGGCUGAAUAGCUAAGUGGGGGACUCGGCUAGGUUCCUUCAACAUAAGGUACAAGUCGAGAAGCUUAGUGAAGGGGCAGGUCCUUGCUGAUUUCGUUGCAGAGUUCUUCCCUAGGAACGACGGAAAGAUGAUCUGUAAUGUAAAGAGUUGCCCGUGGAAGGUGUUUAUGGAUGGCGCUUCGAGUGCUAUGAGAGUCAGAGUUGGAAUUGUCAUAAUCACUCCGGAGGGUAUACGAUCGGAGCAUUCCUUCAGAUUGGGGUUCAAAGCCUCUAAUAACAAGGUCGAGUACGAGGCCUUUCUUGCCGGAUUGAGGACCGUUUUAUGCUUGGGUGCACGUGAUGUGGAGAUUUAUUCGGAUUCUCGGCUGGUUGUGUAUCAGAUCCAGGGAAGAUUUGAAGCUCGGGAUUCUCGGAUGAAAGCCUAUCUGAGUGCAACAAAGCAAAUCAUUAACAAGUUCGAAACAGUGAAGGUGGCCCAGGUAGGCCGGGCACAAAUCAGACACGCUGACUCACUAGCCACAUUAGUCUCGUCAAUGACCGAGGAGAUUCCUCGGCUUAUCAAAGUAGAGCUUAUAAGGGAAGUAUCGGUAUGGAAGAUAAUUGUAUCUCGGCCGGGGUUGACGUCACCAUGAUUUCAACAACCAGGCUGUGUUGGAUGGACCUGAUCAUUGACUUCUAGGCCGAGGAUAGAGUUCCGGACGAUGAAAAAGAGGCCAAAAAGAUUCGUUAGGUGGCUUCCCGGUAUUGGCUGUCAACAGAUCGCAAAUUAUACCAGAGGUUUUUUGGAGGAUCGUACCUUUUAUGCUUACAUCCCAAGAAAGUAAAUGAGCUUCUGUUCGAGCUGCAUGAUGGAGUGUGUGGUAGUCAUGUUGGGGGGCGUUCAUUAGCACACAGAGUGAUGACUUAAGGAUUUUGGUGGCCGCAGGUGCAGAAAGAUGUAGCGGAAUAUGCGCAGAAAUGUGAACAAUGCCAAAAACAUGCUCCUUUGAUCCACCAGCCAGUAGGUCAUUUAAACCUCGGCAAUAUUCCAUGGCUGUUUGCACAAUGGAGGCUAGACAUCCUUGGCCCAUUCCCCCGAGCAAUGGGUAACCACCGAUUCGUGUUGGUGGCGAUUGAUUAUUUCACGAAAUGGGCGGAAGCCAAGGCCCUGGCAAAUAUCCGAGAUGUAGACGUGAAGAAGUUUGUAUGGAAGAACAUAGUCACGAGAUUCGGGGUGUUGGACUCACUGAUAUCAGACAAUUGGCUACAGUUUAACAGCAAAGCUUUCUGAACCUUUUGCAGCGAUCUCGACAUCAAGAAUAGGUAUUCUACUCUGGCAAAUCCCCAAAGCAACAGCCAAGCUGAGUUAACUAACAAGAUCAUUUUGAAUGGGUUGAAGAGAAGGUUGGAUAGGGCAAAGGAAAGAUGGGUCGAGGAACUACCCAACGUUUUGUGGGCUUACCGUACAACCCCCAGAAGGUCCACAGGGGAGACUCCGUUCUCCUUGACCUAUGGAGUAGAAGUCGUGAUAUCGACUGAAGUGAACUUGUACAGUGCACGGGUCGUAGGAUUUGACCCCGUCCAAAAUGAUGGUUUAAUGCUGGAGCACUUGGAUUGGUUGGAAGAGUGCCGGGAAGCAGCAACAGUACGGCUCGCAGAAUACCAGUAGAGACUUGCCCAACGAUACAACUGAGAUGUAAAAGCUAGGGAAUUCAGUGUCGGAGACUUGGUGCUAAGAAAAGUUGUGGGAAACAUGCGGGACGUAGGUGCACGGAAGUUAGCUCAAACGUGAGAGGGACUGUACAAAGUUACUACCAUUGCAGGUGUGGGAGCGUACUAUUUAGAAGACCUUGACGAGAGGCCACUCCCCUAGCCAUGGAAUGUCCAUAACCUAAAGAAGUUUUACCACUGACCAUUCGUGCACGAAAACGUAAGUCUAAACCCUGUACACCGCUCUAGUCAAAAUAAUGAUGAAGUUCCUUGUUGUAGUUAUAUUCAAUUUCAUUAUUGCACAUUAAGUAUUAAUUAAUUGCAUAUUUAGUAUUAAUGGAUUAUGUUAAGGACAGAAACCUCAUUCUCAGUUCGAUCAAUAUCGCCGAGCAGGUGGAAACCUCAUUCUUAUAAAAAAAAUUUCUAAGUACAGAAACCUCAUUCUCAGUUCGAUCAAAAUCGUCGAGCAAGUGGAAACCUUAAUCUUAUAAAAAAAUUUCUAAGGAUAGAAACCUCAUUCUCAGUUCGAUUAAAAUCGCCGAGCAGGUGGAAACCUUAUUCUUAUAAAAAAUCCUAAAGACAGAAACCUCAUUCUCGAUUCAAUCAAUAUCACCGAGCAGGUGGAAACCUUAUUCUUAUAAAAAAAAUUCUAAGGACAGAAACCUCAUUCUCGGUUCGAUCAAAAUCACCGAGCAGGUGGAAACCUUAUUCUUAUAAAAAAUCCUAAGGAUAAAAACCUCAUCCUCAGUUCGAUCAAUAUCACCGAGCAGGUGGAAACCUUAUUCUUAUAAAAAAAAUUCUAAGGACAGAAACCUCAUUCUCGGAUCAAUCAAUAUCACCGAGUAGGUGGAAACCUUAUUCUUAUAAAAAAAAAAUUCAAAGGACAGAGACCUCACUCUCGGUUCGAUCAAAAUCGCCGAGUAGGCGAAAACCUUAUGCCAGAACAUGAGGCAGCUUGCCGUUCAUCUUCUCAAGAAAGUAAAUAUAUGUUGUGUAAAACACCCAAUAUAUGGGGGCUUGAUUGAUCCCACCGUACAAAUCAUCCUCGACCAUACAUGCAAGAAGAUAAGUGGCAACGACAAAAAAGAGGGGAAGGAAACAACACGAAACAAAGUAAUAAUCAAGCAUUCACGAGCAUGAUCAAAGAAAACACAUGACGAAUAAAUCAUCAUCCAAAUAAAGUUAAUAGAAAAAUAGAAUCAAUGUUUUGUCGCCAAACCCAGUAAUUGCAUACGGGUCAUCCCCGAGAAAUAAAUAAAUUGUUUAGUCACCACAACCCGGUGACAUAGGUAAAUUUACUGGAAAAGAAAUAGUAUUAAAAGGAAAUAAAAAGAAAUAAAAGCAUUGAAGAGUCGGUUCGGCAAUUAAGUUAAUGAAACGGAGGGUCCGAUUUGAUUGGUUGCGUCGGUCUGCUGUUGGUCAACCACGGGAGAAAGCAUAUCCCCACCAGGAUGAUCUUGAGCACGGGGGAUACUGGUGGCCUCUGUCUCAUUUGGCUCAGCAUGUGCAUCAAUCUGUUCCACCAGUUCCCUCAUGCUUGCUGUUUCCUCCUCGUCAGUGGGCACCGGGGGGUUCUGUGCGGCAGCGAUUGAGCUCAGGAAGGGAAUUUGACCGGGAUUUCUCAAAAGGGAAUCCUCAGGGACUCCCAAAAUCUGUAGAGCAGCAUCCCACCCGGCCUCAAAACCCAACCUUCGAGCCUGAUUCACAACUGGCUCCGCGGAAUUCUCAUCAUCAACGAACCCUUCAUUGUACCAUUUCUCCUCGCAAGCCUCUAAAGCCGCUCUCAGGUCGGCAAGUUCCUUGGCUUGAGCCGUGUUCAAAUUGAUUGCCUCGACUAGCUUAAUGUCCGUCUCGUUCUGCUUAGCCAAGAGUUCUGUGGACCUUUUCUCCGCCAUUGCUCUAUUUUUCUCCACGACAGCAGCUUUUUUCUCGACAGUGUCAGCCGCCUUUAUUUUCUCCUUAGCUGUUUUAAUAGCCAUCUCCCAUGCUUCCCUCUCCCGGUCAGCCUCCUCGGCAAGUUCCUUUACGUGACCAUCCAAGAUAUGGGCCAAUUAAGCAACCUAACAAAGCAACAAAGAUUAGUACGGCAAUAAAACGAAAGGUAAAUGGAAGAUAAUGAAUGUGUAAAGGAUAGUAAAGAAUUAGUAAGUAAAGGGUUACCGCGACAGUAUGCCACUGUAGCCUUCUUCCCAUGAACUCCUCCGACCCUUCUUCAAAGGCGUGCACGUCAUUAGGCAAGAGGAGGCCCUGCGCUAGAGUUUGGGCAAUGCAGCCCCUUUCACCUUUCUCCCACAUCUGCACACAAGCAUUUGUAGGAAGUGGCUUGCCGUCCAACAGAAAUUUAGGCUUCCACACCUACGCAGCUUGGGAGGAGAAUGCUACGCUCGGCCCGAAUUGAGUUUGCGGCUCCUGGAUGACAAUGUCGCCGGUUGGUCGGGGAGGAGUCCGGGCUGCUGUAUCUCCCGGGCCAGUAGGCGUUUGCUCAGCAACCCUCUGCCUCUUCCGGACUCAUCCAGUUUGAGGAGGAGGCGCUUGAAUUUGGCUCUAAGAGGGUGGCUGCUGCACGGCUUGCCUUGUACCGGGCACGAAACGGUCUAUGGUCAUAGCCCUCCGGGUCACUAUGUCUUCACUAAGGAGGGGCUUGGUGUCUGAAAGAUCGGUUAUGUCAACAACAAAUUGCUCGGCUUUCUCUACGGGAGCCUCAGGUUCAACAGGUUCCUCGGUGAUGUAGGACACAAUUUACUAUUUAAUUAUUGUAAUUUAUUAUUUUUGGUAUUUUUAUGUAAAAAACGUUAUUUUAGGUUUGGGUGAUUUAUUUUCUUGUUUUUAGGUGCAUAUAAUGCUUUUUAGGUCAAAUUUUAUUCUUGAUAUGGUUAGGUAUCAAUUAGGAGUUAUUUUAGAAUAUAUUUUCUUGUCUGUCAAGUUUUAUGGAGCCCUUAAAUAGUCCCCUAAGUCUGUAAACGUUUUUUAGAGAAAUUAUUGAAUAAAAAUCAGAAAAAAGGUGAGGCUUUGCUCUU